rnacentral:rRNA from 1 species
AGCGUAGGUGGCCUAACAUGUCAACUGUGAAAACCCGGAGCUCAACUCCGGACUUGCAGUUGAAACUGGUAGGCUUGAGGACGGUAGAGGAAAACGGAACUGCCAGUGUAGGGGUAAAAUCCUUAGAUAUUGGCAGGAACGCCGGUGACGAAGGUGGUUUUCUGGGCCGGUUCUGACACUGAUGCUCGAAAGCCAGGGGAGCGAAC